CACAACCUCCUGGAAAGGAUCCAGCUUCAUCUCUGACGGUCUCCACCUUCUUGACAGAACUGCAAGCUGGGACAUGGAUUUCAUCUUCUCCACCCCUAUGAAGAUACAAGAUUACGUCACCUUUCUCUUUUCUCUAGAGAUGAAACAUAAGGCCGCAUCUUUGUCAUCUCUACUUCUAAAAUCUACGUAGGGCCUGGCAUCUUGAAUGGAUCCAGGAAUAUUAAUUGGGUGGGUGGAUCAACGGAUGGAUAAAGAGUGGGACUCCCUCCCCACUAUUACAAAGCUGUGGUAUCACUGCUGUCACAGGUCUGAUGUGUUGCAGAGGUCCAAGAACACUUGCUACUACAACUGCACCGAAAAUGAGAGCAAACGCAACAGAAGACAUUCUUACAAUCUAGGAAGUUACGGGUGGUCUUAGAACAAAGUACCUAACUCUUAGCUGAUUCUUUUCUUAACUAAAAAUUUAAAUAAAC